rnacentral:pre_miRNA from 1 species
CUCCUACUCCCUCCGUUCCGAAUUACUUGUCUUAGAUUUGUCUAGAUACGGAGGUAUCUAGCACUAAAAUGAGUCUAAAUACAUCCGUAUCUAGACAAAUCCAAGACAAGUAUUUCGGAACGGAGGGAGUACGUG